rnacentral:ncRNA from 2 species
UUCUUAUCAAGAGAAGUGGAGGAACUGGUCCUAAGAAGCUUCAGCAACCACCAACACAGUUGGCCGGUGCUAAAUCCAGCAGGUUUUAGACCUGACAGAUAAGAG